UGGGGCGUAGCCAAGUGGUAAGGCACGGGGUUUUGGUCUCCGCACGCGCAGGUUCGAACCCUGCCGCCCCAG
rfam:Natranaerobius trueperi strain DSM 18760 ZB100009, whole genome shotgun sequence.